AACUAUAGUAACGCCACAAGCGUACUAUGUUUGAUCUUUACGAUCAGCUUUUGGUAUGGUGCUUCGUCAAAUACAAAACUUAGAUUUGAUGUAUUGCAGAGUAUUGAAAUAUAGAAACGCAUUGUCAAU
rnacentral:sRNA from 12 species